UCCUUUCCUCCCACUCACUUUGGGCAUCUCAUUAUCAUGUGUUUACUAGUAGAAACAUCAACAGACGGGGAACAGGAACCCAGCUGAGAGGAGAGCGUUUCCAGGGGAGCUGACAGACAACCUGGCUCUCUAGUGGCUGGUGCCCCAUCGCCGUUCAGCCCCAUCCCAGGCCAUGCGUGUGUGACGCUGAUUAGAGCCUUGACGGAAACCUCAGCCAGUAGUCUGCGAAAUGAGAAGAGGUGAUUCCACACGCCGGGAAGUCUACAAGCCCUCUGUAUCUGAUAGGGUGCUGUGAUAUACAGGAAACAACAUGAUAUGUAUCUAUUCAUUUGGUUAUUAACUGCACUAUAAGUAUUUUUCUAUCUGUAAAAAAGCAUUCUACUGGAAAACAUGAUGGUGAAAUGCGAAAAGCAGGGAUUUAUCAGCUCAACACUUGCGACUCAUCUGAAACACCCUGUGACUCUGUGAUGUUCUCCUGACCCUGGUAGAACAUUUGUUUGAAUGAUGAAGUACCAAGCCCCUGGCAGAGGCUGCCUCUUUAAAGUACAUCUUGUUCAAGUCCAAGGUGAGAGGCGUGAAGGAGUGCUGUAGAUGAGGAGCCCAGUGGCAAGCUGGGAUGGGGCGUGUGGCCUGCGCUUUCUCAGCACCCCGUUUGAAGCUCUGACGCGGGCCCCCCUGUUCUCCCCUGGCCCCCUCAGGGCACAGAUGGACAACACGUCUGGGGCAAAAAGGGGAGGGGAUGAGUAAUUGCCAUGCGAAAAGAGGAGAUCGGGCUCGCCCCUCUGAUGAGCUAAAUUGAAUAAAGGGGCAGGAAUGCGAUCCAGAUCUAUUCUAAUGCCCCCUCAAUGCUGUUUCAAUUAUCGGCAUUGGGAGUUCAAAGGGGAGGCCCCAAUACACUUCUGCUCCACAUGAAGCAGCUCUCAUCACUUAACCUCAUGCCAUUGUUGUGCCUCCUUUUUACGCUCAGUCACUCUCUCUCACCCUUUCCUUCUCUCUCUGGCUCAACUGCAUUCAUGCUUUACAUUAAACAGACAGUGAACACCAUGCCAUCACCACCAGUAAGCCCCAUAAUUCAAAGACUAGGAACUUUUUUUAUUGCCAACUGUACCUUUCACCAAAGUCAUGGUGUUACUUGACGUUCAUUUUUUCCAUCCUGUUUUUUGUCUUAGUGAAACUACAGUUGCAUGUACUCUGGUUAUUUAUUUCACUAUGUUUUACUUUGAGAUGGCUGUUUGCUUUUUUUGCUUCAUGGUUAGCUACGUCUUCUUCUGCAUGAAGCCCAAGUCUACCCUACUGUUAGUCACUAGGCCAUCAGACAGACCCUUCUGGGUAUUGAAGGAAUAGUUCACCCAAAGUUUGGCAGACAUUUUCAUACCUCAAACGUGGUUUGAAGUCAAACGGAACCCAUUUCCACACCAUCUGUUGUCUAUAGGCAUCAGGAGAGGUCUCAGUCCUCAGUGAACUGGCACAGGAUUGGCAUGGUAAAGUUGGAACACUAUUGAAGUAUAAAAACAUCUAACAAACUAAGAUUUUGGGUGAACUAUUAAGUUUAAACUGAAGUGAAACGUAAGAUCAGUGCUCUCCAGAUGAGCCAGUAGAACAUGAGUAAAUCAGUAAGAAUAUUGUUAUGGCAAAUAGAAAUCAAACCUGGAUGGUUUUCAAAGAUAGAUGGGUGUCAAGCCCUGAUCUGUUUCACCUGUUCUUGUGGUUGUCUCCAUCUCCUCCAGGUGUCGCUUAUUUUCCCCAGUGUAUUUAUCCCAGUGUUUCCUGUCUUUCUGUGCCAGUUCGUCUUGUUAUUUUUAAAGUCAACCAGUGUGUUUUCCUGUGCUCCUGUUUUCUAUUCUCUUUUUCUAUUCUUCCCGGUUUUGACCCUUGCCUGUUUUUUCUGGACUUCAUACCUGCCUGCCUGACACUUCUGCCUGCUCUGACAUCGAGCCUGUCUGCCACUCUUUACCUCUUGGACUCAGAAUCUGGUAUUGGCCUUUUUCCUGUCCACGACCAUUCUCUUGCCUACUCUUUUUGGAUCAUAAAUAAACUACAAAGACUCUAA